UCUGUGUGAGUUUCCACAGCCAGCAGUAACACACUUCUGAAAACACUAGAUCACAAACCACAACACAAAGAUCAAACAACAGUAGUAAGUUGGAAUCGUUCUACAAUCACGGUGAGUAAUGGCUUCUUCUCCUGCUGUUGUUAUUUGCAUUGCUUGACACAUGUACCGUUUAUCAAUCUCUGUCAGCAGUGAGGGAUUUACAUGUGAUUAAAUGCAGGGAAAUAGUUAGUCUGACAGAGAAGGUUUCAGAACUAGAGACACACAUACAAACUUUAAUGGAGGAUAGUAAGAAUGUGACGUAAAUUCAGUAAGAUUGUUAUUCACGUCAGCACUAAGGAUGUUCGACUUCGUCAGUCAGAGAUCACUAAAAAUAAUGUUAAAGAGGUGUGUGAACUUGUACGAUGUCAGACACUGUAAUACGCUCUGGUCUCCUCCCUGCUUACCGUGGUGACGAGAUACAUAGCAGACUGUCGUCACUAAAUGGCUGGAUGUCUAAGUGGUGCCCGCAGAAUAACAUAGGUUUCAUAGACAAUUGGACGAGUUUUUGUGGCAGACCUGACCUGUUGAAAAGAGAUGGUCUUUAUUUCUCCAGGGGUGGUGCUGCUCUUCUCUCUAGAAAUAUGGCAAAUAGUCUUAGAGUUUGGACUUGUCUAACUGGGCUAGUAACUGAAAGUAUUGUCAAGUAUAGUGACCCAUACUCAAAAUUGGUGCUCUGCACCAGUGACAAUACAAUAUAUAGGGUGUGAUUUUACACAAAAUUCAACAUAUUAACAUGAAAUGAAAACUGCAAAUCCAAGUUUUGCCACCUGGAGUCCAUUUGUUUCUUUGGAUUGCAGUGAUCCAUUUGGUUUUCUUUUCUGUAGCUUUUGACAGCCUGUAAAAAUAUACCUCAGGUUUCUUGUCAAAUCUCUUUGUAAAGCCAAUCGCAAAGCUCAUUCUGGUUUUAGAGUUGUUUGUGUUCUCUCGCAGCAUUCACACUGAAACCAAUGCUGGCAUUCAGUCUUUUUCCGCUCAGUGUGUGGAGCCGCACUCACUCCAGCUGACGGUGACGUCACGUUAGUGACGGGAAGUUCAGAUCAUUUUACCGACUCAGACUUUUGAGUCUCAUUCAGCAAAAUGAACAAAUCUUUUUUUGAGUCAUUUUGUUAUUUUCAGCAAAAUGUAAUUAAAAUGUUACAUGUUACCUCCCUAACACAUCUACUGCUUACACAAACACUGAUCACACUACAAACAAGACAAAACUAUAAUGCUAUAAGAAACAGAAAAGAUUCAUUUAUUGUUUAUCUGGGUCUUUAGUCUAUGAUUAGCUCACCUCACCUCUUAUCUGACAAAGUUUUCGAGUUUGAGUCGUUUGUUCAUCACGUGACAGCCCCAUUAGGUGAACAAAUAGGUGUGUUCGAUUUCAUCUACGGCUACAGACAGUGAUCAACGAGAGUAUCCGAGAGCAGUCGGGGGCGGAUUUGAAAAAAUGGAGGCAUCAAGUCGGACACGUUUUACUCUCGUCAGUGAAGCUCUCGCGGUGUUUGCAUGCUCUAUCACAGAAGAAGUGAAUUAAAUGCAAAAUAUUUAUCAAAUACACAGACUUUUCUGAAGCGUUUUCAUGAACAACAGAAACACGUUUCAUAUACUGCUUAAUACAGCGCCAUCUGAACAAGAAUAAUGAUCAACAUAAACAUAUACUGUUUAAAUACUAAUAAAGUGGGGUUAUUUAUGCUUUUAUCAGUGUUUUAUAAGAAAAAUCUGACUCAAUAUAACAUCGCGACUACAGUAAAAACUUUUAUUGUUGUAAAAACACAGAUUUGUCAGUAUUAUCAGACUUGAGGAUGUUAGAAUAAACCCAAAACACACGUGAUCGUUGUCAUGUGGUGAAUCUGGCCAAUCGUGAAACAGUCAUGUGGUCAUCAGAGCUCUUGCAGCCGCUCUGAAGAAACUGCACCGGCUAAGUCAGUUGCUGCUCUCGAAUCGCUGUCGCGAUACUUUGAUGACACACGUGACAGUCACGAGGCGUCGGCGCCGCCUCAAGUCGGACAAAAUUUCUAACCGGCAUACACUGCUUCAAGUCAGAAUUUGAUCGAGCUGCGCAGCGCUGCGUUAAGUCGAACACACCUAAUGACUCAAAACAUUAUUAAUUAAUUAUGAAUUAAAGGUGCAUUCAGUGCUAAACCUUUGUUUAUUUUCUAUUAGUUUCAUGUUGAAGAUAUUAAACUGCACUUGGGUUCUACAUCUGGUUCAUCUCAGUGGAGUUUGUGACUCAGAUCUGGUGAUUCACCUUCAUUAGUUGUUAAUGUGAGGAUGAGAUCAAUUGUGAAGCAAAGCAACAAAGAUUAACUAAUAAUGAAUUGAUUAAUGUUCAUAGAAAUUUAUAUAAAUUUAGUUCAGAAAUCUAUUUUGAUACACUAAUGACUUCCACACACCUUUUCUCACAGCAAAUUGAUUGGGUUUGGAAUUAAUAUACCCCCAUUUAUAUUUGUAAAUGUAAAAAUUGUAAAAGUAAAGUUAGAGAAUAAAGACACUUGCUCACACUGUGUGUUAAUACAAUAUAACACUACAGUAAACACUAUACAGACAAAGUCUGAUGCACACAAUAGUGUCCAACUGCACCAGCAGUUUCAGAACCACAACCACAGAACCGGAAGUGAGGGGCCGAGUUUUUGACAACGAGAUAAACACGGUGGAGAGCACGGUGAGUUGUCUUGAGUUAAAUGUUUUUUUAAUAAAUACUUCAUUUGUGCUUUGAUUUAUCAUCUCAAUGAAGGUUGAUUUUGUUGUCAUAUAAUUUGUUGUACAGUACAAUUUUUCAGAUUGCAUGUUGUAAAUAGGCUUUGCUGUGAAGCUUUGAAGAUGUUUAUUAUUCGUAAAUAUAUUAUAUUUUUAUUCAUAACAUUUGUUAAUGUGAAUUGUGUGGUUCUUUCAUCUCUUGUAGAGAUGAAUUCAGAGAUUUGACACAUUACCUGAGCUGCAGCAGUGCAACUAAUAUAUACUUACAAUAUAUUAUUACAUUACAGUUUUACAGUAUAUUUAUUUAUUUAUUUUAGGCUUCUAACCUAAACCUAGCUACUAUACACUGAUGUGAAUUAGGAAGUAGACAAACACUGCAUAUGUGUGAAUUAGUUAAAUAAGGAACAAGGAAGUUUUAAUUUAUUUGUUUGGUAUUUAUGGAGAGAAUAUUCUUAUUUUAUGCUGUUUUCCUGUAUGAUCUACAACUUUUUUACAUCUGUAAGUAAUUAUCAGUUAAAGUAACUGACAUUUAUUAUAUUAUAGCGUUGACAUUUUAAGAUUUCUCUGUGUUUUUUCUUCCAGUGUGACAGUCCAAACAUACAGAGAUGGUUUUCUCUUAUUCUUCUGGGGAAAUUUGGGGUUUUCUCUGAAAGUGCAGAAACUCGACAAGACGCCCUUCCAAGUAGAACAGACUAUUCUUAGCAGCAGUGAUGAACUCCCAGUGAUCUGACACAUGACAGAAGCUGUGAAAUGGCUCCAUUCCAACAAACAUCUGCUCCGGUUGCCAGUGGAAAAACCUCUUUUCUUUCUAAUGGAUGAAGAGGACAAAGAAAAGGCCUCAACAAUCUCCUGGAACAAUCAGAAACUUCCAGAGUGUCCUUCAAAUGUCAUUUUGUGUUCAGGGAUGAUGUGGAGUUAUUUAUGCAGGAUUGUCAUGGCAAAAUGAGCCUAAUAGUGUAUUGUUCACUUGAUAAACUUCAAUUUAAUUUAAUUUCAUUAAUUUUAAUUUGACCCUCUAGCUCUCCUUAUUCUAAUUCUAUUCUUAAAAAAACUUGACCCUUUAAAACUUGCGCACUAUUUGUUUUCUAAAUGCUUGUUUCUUGAAAAAAACAACAACAACCUAACACUAGCUUCUCUAACUAUAUGAUUGUGUAUAUGGGGGGCAGCCGUGGCCUAAUGGUUAGGGAGUCAGGCUUGUAACCGAAAGGUUGCGGGUUCAAGUUAGGGUUAGGGAUUGAAGGUGGUGGGAGUGAAUAACCAGCGCUCUCUCCACCCUCAAUACCACGACUGAGUCCCUUGAGCAAGACACUGUUCCCCCAACUGCUCCCCGGGCACCGCAGCGAUAGCGAUAUGGCUGCCCACUGCUCCAGGUGUGCGUUCACUAGGGAUGGGUACCGAAACCCGGUACUUAGUUGGUCCCGGUGCCUAAUUAUAAAAGACCGAAGUAUCGAAAAGCUCUGACGUUAACGGUUCUGCUGUUGGUACUGGAGAAAUGUUAAAAAAAUACAUUUCCUAUUUAUUAUUGCUGAAUAAACAUUACCUAGCAUAUUUUACCUGACCAAAUAACGCGCCGACAGAAAAUGUCUGUGUAUACUUGUUUCUGUUUGCAAUAGCAUCGCAUACUGUGCUGUAACAUGCUGUAGUACUGCUGUACUGGACAACACUGGUAAAAUGACACGAACCUCUCGUGACGGUGUGCUCUGCUCACAUGCUCUGAAAAUAAUAGCUUUGUAGGACUAUACAUUAUUUUGAUAAUUAGUCAAAAAAUGUUAUAUCUGAUUCUGUUUCAUAGAACUGAAUAAAAUAUUUUUUUAUUCAGUAUUUUUUUUUAUUCAGUAAUAUUAUUGAGUUAAAUUAAAAAGUCUAACAAAACAACUGUAUUAAUUAAUACAAUAAUAAAUAAUUAUUACAAAGCAGUUUCAGCCAAGAAUUUUCAUUUCAGUAUAUCCCUAGAUUUUUAUGAAAAAAUAAACAUUUUCAGGGUGAUACAAGACCCCACUGUGAAAUUAUCUUGCUUAUUAUACGCCUACUUGACACAUAUGUAAAUAAUUUAACACAAAAUAUGAAUUUAAUUAUAUGUUAUUACCUCAAGACGACUCGCAGUACCCGCUGCAGCUGUCUGUUAUCAGUUGUAGCAAUUUUGUUGUAAAAUAACAGACCACUAGAUGGUGCAAUUGAUAUCAGAAAAGAGAAGUGCCAUUAGCGAGUAAAAUUAUGAAUGAAUGACCCAUAGUAGUUCUGUUCUAAGCAUGGACAAGUUUUUGAAAAGACAACAAGUGCCAGGUAAAUGUAAAGUAAAUGAUGAAUCUACUUAAAAGAUCACAACUACAACAAAGAGAAGAAAAUAUGAGAAAAUCUGUUUAACAAAACAGUGAAUGCUGUUACAUUGUUACAAAUUUUACAUUUAA